rnacentral:rRNA from 1 species
GACGAACGCUGGCGGCGUGCCUAAUACAUGCAAGUAGAACGCUGAAGGAGGAGCUUGCUUCUCUGGAUGAGUUGCGAACGGGUGAGUAACGCGUAGGUAACCUGCCUGGUAGCGGGGGAUAACUAUUGGAAACGAUAGCUAAUACCGCAUAACAGUAGAUAUCGCAUGAUAUCUACUUGAAAGGUGCAAUUGCAUCACUACCAGAUGGACCUGCGUUGUAUUAGCUAGUUGGUGAGGUAACGGCUCACCAAGGCGACGAUACAUAGCCGACCUGAGAGGGUGAUCGGCCACACUGGGACUGAGACACGGCCCAGACUCCUACGGGAGGCAGCAGUAGGGAAUCUUCGGCAAUGGACGGAAGUCUGACCGAGCAACGCCGCGUGAGUGAAGAAGGGUUUCGGAUCGUAAAGCUCUGUUGUAAGAGUAGAACGAGUGUGAGAGUGGAAAGUUCACACUGUGACGGUAUCUUACCAGAAAGGGACGGCUAACUACGUG